rnacentral:sRNA from 1 species
GCUGGGAGUGGUGGCACAGGCCUGUAAUCCCAGCAUCUCUGGAGGCUGAGGCAGGAGGAUUGCAAGUUCAAAGCCAGAUCUGGCAAUUUAGCGAGACCCUGUCUCAA